rnacentral:lncRNA from 1 species
AGGCCCGCAGGAGUCUUCCGGAAUAUUCUGCAGCUGAGGCGAUUCAUCAGUCAGCAAGCUUCACAAACAGGAAAGGCUGUCUUUAUUUUUUUCACGGGGAAUGAACUAGGGUCUCAUUCACUGUAGGCAAGUGCACUAUCAUGGAGCUAGGUCCUCAGCCUUAUUACUGUAAAUGCACUGUAUUGCUUAAAAAAAAAAAAAGAAUCAUGAUCUCACAUUGCAGGUGGGGCUAGUCUGGUUCACAGAGUGAGUUCUAAGACAGCCAGGGAUACUCAAGGAAACCUUGUCUUGAAAAAAACAACAUCUAAAACAACACACACACACACACACACACACACACACUUAUAUAUAUAUGAUGUGUGAGUGUUUUACCUCAUGCAUUGGCAUCAUGUGUGUGGCAUGUGCCUGGUGUUACAGAUGGUUGUGAGCCAUCCUUUGGUUAUUGGGAACUGAGUGGGGCCUCUAGGAGAACAAUACUUGCUCUUAACAGCUGAGCAUCUCUCCAGUCCCUUCUUCUUUUUACUGUGAAGCACCAAUGGUGUACUGAGGCUUUUUUCUAAGUUCUUUAUAUACAUGAAGCAGUUCAAUCCUCAUAGCAUAUCAUGGGGCUGGGGACAGUACUUAUCUAUAUUUUGCAAAUAAGCAGAUAGGCCCAAAGAGCAAAUAGAUCUGAGAUUAGAACUUAGACUAUCUGCUUCCAGCAAUUUUAUUUUGUUUAUAACUAUUUUGACCUGUUUAUAUAAAAUUCUAGAACAGAUGAGUUACAAAGCCACGUAUAGUAAAAGGAAGCAAGUCAGGACUUGUCUAGAGACAGGGUGGAGGAAUGAUAUUUGAAAGGGGUGCAAAGAAACCUUGGGAAGUGAUAGGAACGUUUGUCAUGUGAUGGUUUUGAUGGUUGUGGGAGCAUUUUAAAAGAUACAAAGGGCCUGCAAUCCCGGAAGCUCUGGGUGCUGAGGCAGAAGGAUUACAAACUCAAGACCUGCCUGGGCAGUUACUGAGCAAUUUUGGGGCUACCUGGCUGCAUGAGACCCUGUAAAAAGAAACCAUACAAGUUAAAAAAGGGCUCGGGCUGGAGAGAUGGCUCAGCAGUUAAGAGCACUGGUUGUUCUUCCAGAGGUCCUGAGUUCAAUUCCCAGCAACCACAUGGUGGCUCGCGACCAUCUGUAAUGAGAUCUGAUGCCCUUUUCUGGUGUGUCUGAAGGCAGCAACAAUGUACUCACAUACAUGAAAUAAAUAAAUCUU